rnacentral:lncRNA from 1 species
GUCAGUUCAGCUGCACAGCAUUCUGAGCCCUAUCCUUCAUCAUCAGCACAGCACGAUCCUCCUGUUCAUCAGCCAGAUGAUGAGAUACACGUGCAGGGUAUAUAUUGUCUUUCAUGUAAAUUUAUUUUUUUUAUUUUAUGUAUAUUUAUGAUAUAGUUACUUUUAUAUAUUUUUUGCAGACGGAUUCGGGAGAGUACGCCCCAGACGCGGACCCACAGUAGUAUGAGAUGUGUGGCAGAUGCGUGAGGGUGAGAGAAUUGUUGUGGAGU